AUUGAACGCUGGCGGCAUGCUUUACACAUGCAAGUCGAACGGCAGCGCGGGGCAACCUGGCGGCGAGUGGCGAACGGGUGAGUAAUACAUCGGCACGUACCCAGAAGUGGGGGAUAACGUAGCGAAAGUUACGCUAAUACCGCAUACGUUCUACGGAAGAAAGUGGGGGACCUUCGGGCCUCAUGCUUUUGGAGCGGCCGAUGUCUGAUUAGCUAGUUGGUAGGGUAAAGGCCUACCAAGGCGACGAUCAGUAGCGGGUCUGGGAGGACGACCAGCCACACUGAGACUGGGACAGGGACCAGACUCCUACGGGAAGCAGCGGUGGGGAAUUUUGGACAAUGGGCGCAAGCGUGAUCCAGCAAUGCCGCGUGAGUGAAGAAGGCCUUCGUGUUGUAAAGCUCUUUUGUCAGGGAAGAAACGGUCGGGGUUAAUACCUCUGGCUAAUGACGGUACCUGAAGAAUAAGCACCGGCUAACUACGUGCCAGCCGCCGCUGUAACAC
rnacentral:rRNA from 1 species